rnacentral:rRNA from 1 species
AUUGAACGCUGGCGGAAUGCUUUACACAUGCAAGUCGAACGGCAGCACGGAGAGCUUGCUCUCUGGUGGCGAGUGGCGAACGGGUGAGUAAUAUAUCGGAACGUGUCCAAUAAUGGGGGAUAACGAGUCGAAAGAUUCGCUAAUACCGCAUACGCCUACGGGGGAAAGCAGGGGAUCGUAAGACCUUGCGUUAAUGGAGCGGCCGAUAUCUGAUUAGCUUGUUGGUGAGGUAAAGGCUCACCAAGGCGACGAUCAGUAGCUGGUUUGAGAGAACGACCAGCCACACUGGAACUGAGACACGGUCCAGACUCCUACGGGAGGCAGCAGUGGGGAAUUUUGGACAAUGGGGGCAACCCUGAUCCAGCCAUUCCGCGUGAGUGAAGAAGGCCUUCGGGUUGUAAAGCUCUUUCGCAAGGGAAGAAAACUUAUGAUCGAAUAAAUCAUGAGGUUGACGGUACCUU